rnacentral:rRNA from 1 species
UACGUAGGGACCGAGCGUUGUCCGGAAUCAUUGGGCGUAAAGAGCGUGUAGGCGGCCCUUUAAGUCCUGCGUGAAAUCCUGCGGCUCAACCGCAGACGGUCGUGGGAAACUGGAGGGCUAGAGUGCGGGAGAGGAGAGUGGAAUUCCCGGUGUAGCGGUGAAAUGCGCAGAUAUUCGGAGGAACACCAGUGGCGAAGGCGGCUCACUGGCUCGGUACUGACGCUGAGGUGCGAAAGCGUGGGGAGCAAACAGG